rnacentral:lncRNA from 1 species
UUUUUUAUUUUUAUUUAUAAAAGUAUAUUUAAAAAGGUAGAUAAAUAUUUAAAAUGGAGGCAAAAGAAAAAAAAGAAAGAAAAAGAAAAAUAAAAGAUAGAUAAAUAAAUAAUGAGAGUAACAUAAAAAGUAAAAGAUAAAAUAAAAAGUAAACUAAAAGGUAAAAGGAAAGGGUGUGGAGGUGCUUAAAUAAGAGAAGGGGUAUUCAAUCCCAAUUUAGUUCUAAUAACAGAUUGGGCCUAAGCCCAAGUAGCAAAAGGGGUGGUAAAAACGAAAAAUAGGGGUGUACAAACUAAAUUCAUUUCUGAAGGCAAGCCCAAUUCAAAAGGGGUGGUGAGAGCGAAAAUGGGGGUGUAGGAAGUUAACUAAUUUUUUAGUUGUCAGAAUGGGUUUGAGCCCAAAGAGAUGGGGACUGCGGAUGGAAGCAAAAGGGGGGUGCAGAGAACAAAUGAGCUCAAACCCAUUAUGCAGUGGCGCCAAUUAGUAGCCAUGGGGGUGCAGAAGCAAAACCAUUUUUCAGCCCAGGCCGGCCCAAGGUCCUAGGUCAGAAACCUUGUAGGGGUUCCUCAUUUCAUUUUUCACACACUCACAUCUGAGACAGAGAGUCCCUCCCAACACCCUCGAGCUCUCCUCCCCCAGGCGGAGGCGCCGCCAUCCUCUGCCCUAACCAGUCACUGCUCCGCCGUAGAAAGUGUCGCCGGCGACCACCUUCCAAAACGUCAAAGCCUUCGCGCUACAGCGACAUCCGACGCGAACACCAUCGUCGCGCGUCUCUCAGCCCAGCCUAGGGCUGGGGUUUUUUAGCCUUGGACGACGCAAGCUGCCGCUCCCCUUCGGCCAGCCACCACCGCGAACCACCGCCGCUCUCAAAACGCCCGCGAUCGCCCCACGAGGCCACCACCGGUGACAGCAGCGCCAGCCAUGAACCGAAAAACUCCCUCAGCCAAAACUCCCUCACCGCGACCCUCACACAUAAGAGAUUUAGGAAACCAAGAUUGAGUGAUCUUCCUCUUCCCGCCGGCAAAGCCAAGCCAGCCACUUCUACUAUUCUGUUUCUGAAUGGAUUCGAAUGGGAAUGAUAGGGAUUUGGGGUUGAAUCUGAUUUGGCUGGUUCUUCUUCCCCUUUUUUUUGGUUUUAUUUUUGUGACUUUGUGUAAUGCUGAUUGAGGGUGAUGGCGUUAUGCUUGAGUUGGAAUGGUGGCGGUUGAUGGUAGAAGGAUAGUGGUGAAGAAGGUUUGCGUGAUUUGAGUCAGCAACGUGCCAUGGUGUUGAUAUGUUUGUGUUUUGGUGAUCUUGGAUUUCUGUUAGGGUGGUCAGUCAGGGGUUGGUUUUGUGCGUGUGGGUGUAUUGAGAAUGAUGGGUUCGAGUGUCUCGCUGCAGGGGUCAAUGGGAAAAGGGUGAGGAGUUCAGGGUGGAAUAUUGGCUGGUUCCUAUUCCUACGGCUUUGUGUUGUGCAGGUUGAAGACGCAGGUUGAGGAUGAUGGUGUUGAUGAAAAGUUCAAGGAGUGGAGAUUUUUAACGGGUGAAUGGAAUGGUUCGAAGGUGAUGGUGGAUGAAGCCGUGGUGGUAUCCCCUGUGUUAGGGGUUAUACGUAUAGGUCCGGAAGAGAAUAGAAUGGUGAUGACGUUGUGGCCAAGAGAAAUGCGAUGAAGAGGCACCGUGAACAACUCAGGGAAACUGGGUUAUCCUUUCUUUGUAGAUGAACUGGAUCAAAGUUUGGGACAAACGUAAUGUUUUCUGGGUGUUGGCUUUGAAUCUUGGCUUUGUUUCGGUUGCAGGUCACACGACAAUGGUGGAUUGGCCAUUAGUGUCAUCGGGGGGAAGAGUGAUAGCUACACAGUAGCUAAAAGGAGUGUGAUGAAAAUGGUGAUAGGGUUCAGCGAAUGACUCGAAGAGGUUGGGCUAGUUUUUUUUGCUCGGUUGUUGACCUCAUUGGACAUAGGCGACGAAGGAGAAACAGAGGAUACCAAGGACAAUGAUAAAAGGAAGGAUUCAAGUCACAGGAUCAUACACAUACACAGCAUAAUCGAUAAAAAUCUCUGUAACAGUCACAGCAAGCAAUAGCGGCAAUGCAACAGUAAGAUAUUCAAGGGCAAGAACAUAGAGUACAAGGAGCCAUUACUUACCUCUUGAAGACUCGAUUGUCAAUGCCAACCUUGCUUGUCCGAUGGGUCUCCUUAUCCUUCCUAGUGCAGUUCCACCAAUUGCUCUCGGAGCUCCUAUUCUCCUUUGUAGAAUGAAUGCUCACGAUACCACCGUCCUCUCUCUGGGUAACUUGGUUUUCUUUGCUUGUGAUUGUAACAAUGAUCUCUCUCUGAUGUUUUGUUGCUCUCUUUUGGCCACCUCCGCCUGCCACUUUUUCAGUAACGAUUUACCCUCUUGCUCUCUGCUCUGCCAAAUUCCCAAAACCUCUGCCAUGUUCCCCCACAAACCACUUUGUCUCCUCUGAACAAAAAAAAAAAAAAAACCGUUCUCCUUCUCGUUUUGCACACAUGGCUUUUUUUCUUUUCUUUUUAUUUAUUUUUUUUAUUAUUUUUUUUAUUUAUUAUUUUUUUUAAAACAAGAUAAAAUAUAAGAAAGAUAAAACUUAAAAAAACGAAAAUUAAAAAUUGUAAAGGGAAAAACAAAAAU